rnacentral:rRNA from 1 species
CCUAGGGAGGCAGCAGUGAGGAAUAUUGGUCAACGGCCGGGAGGCUGAACCAGCCAAGUCGCGUGAGGGAAGACGGCCCUACGGGUUGUAAACCUCUUUUGUCAGGGAGCAAGGUGCAGGUCGGGACCUGCUGUGAGAGUACCUGAAGAAAAAGCAUCGGCUAACUCCGUGCCAGCAGCCGCGGUAAUACGGAGGAUCCGAGCGUUAUCCGGAUUUAUUGGGUUUAAAGGGAGCGUAGAUGGGUUGUUAAGUCAGUUGUGAAAGUUUGCGGCUCAACCGUAAAAUUGCAAUUGAUACUGGCAGUCUUGAGUACAGUUGAGGUAGGCGGAAUUCGUGGUGUAGCGGUGAAAUGCUUAGAUAUCACGAAGAACCCCGAUUGCGAAGGCAGCUUACUAAACUGUGACUGACGUUGAGGCUCGAAAGCGUGGGGAGCAAACAGGAUUAGAUACCCUUGUAGUC